rnacentral:rRNA from 1 species
UACGUAGGGUGCAAGCGUUAAUCGGAAUUACCGGGCGUAAAGCGUGCGCAGGCGGUCUUGCAAGACAGAUGUGAAAUCCCCGGGCUUAACCUGGGAACUGCAUUUGUGACUGCAAGGCUGGAGUGCGGCAGAGGGGGAUGGAAUUCCGCGUGUAGCAGUGAAAUGCGUAGAUAUGCGGAGGAACACCGAUGGCGAAGGCAAUCCCCUGGGCCUGCACUGACGCUCAUGCACGAAAGCGUGGGGAGCAAACAGG